CGAGACUCAGUGAAAUUGAACUCGCUGUGAAGAUGCAGUGUACCCGCGGCAAGACGGAAAGACCCCGUGAACCUUUACUAUAGCUUGACACUGAACAUUGAGCCUUGAUGUGUAGGAUAGGUGGGAGGCUUUGAAGUGUGGACGCCAGUCUGCAUGGAGCCGACCUUGAAAUACCACCCUUUAAUGUUUGAUGUUCUAACGUGGGCCCGUAAUCCGGGUUGCGGACAGUGUCUGGUGGGUAGUUUGACUGGGGCGGUCUCCUCCUAAAGAGUAACGGAGGAGCACGAAGGUUGGCUAAUCCUGGUCGGACAUCAGGAGGUUAGUGCAAUGGCAUAAGCCAGCUUGACUGCGAGCGUGACGGCGCGAGCAGGUGCGAAAGCAGGUCAUAGUGAUCCGGUGGUUCUGAAUGGAAGGGCCAUCGCUCAACGGAUAAAAGGUACUCCGGGGAUAACAGGCUGAUACCGCCCAAGAGUUCAUAUCGACGGCGGUGUUUGGCACCUCGAUGUCGGCUCAUCACAUCCUGGGGCUGAAGUAGGUCCCAAGGGUAUGGCUGUUCGCCAUUUAAAGUGGUACGCGAGCUGGGUUUAGAACGUCGUGAGACAGUUCGGUCCCUAUCUGCCGUGGGCGCUGGAGAACUGAGGGGGGCUGCUCCUAGUACGAGAGGACCGGAGUGGACGCAUCACUGGUGUUCGGGUUGUCAUGCCAAUGGCACUGCCCGGUAGCUAAAUGCGGAAGAGAUAAGUGCUGAAAGCAUCUAAGCACGAAACUUGC
rnacentral:rRNA from 1 species